rnacentral:snRNA from 1 species
AGUUUGGGUUGAUAUUCAUACAU